UACGGGGGGGGCAAGCGUUGUUCGGAAUUACUGGGCGUAAAGGGUUAGUAGGUGGCCAACUAAGUCAGACGUGAAAUCCCUCGGCUUAACCGGGGAACUGCGUCUGAUACUGGAUGGCUAGAGAUUGGGAGAGGGAUGCGGAAUUCCAGGUGUAGCGGUGAAAUGCGUAGAUAUCUGGAGGAACACCGGUGGCGAAGGCGGCAUCCUGGACCAACACUGACACUGAAAAGCGAAAGCCAGGGGAGCAAACGGG
rnacentral:rRNA from 1 species